GCAAACUUGGUCAUUUAGAGGAAGUAAAAGUCGUAACAAGGUUUCCGUAGGUGAACCUGCGGAAGGAUCAUUAAUAAAUUAACCUGCGCAAGCGGGUAUCUCUUCCAAACACGUGCUCCAUAUAAUUUUAUUUUGGCAGAUGAUGCAGUGAUGUCUCAUCUGCCAGUAGUUUUCAUUCAUUUUUCAUGUUGUUUACUAUAAAAUAAAAAUCUAGUAAAUUCACUUUUACUAGUACCGAAAUAUCAAAACUAUGAACAACGGAUCUCUAGGCUCUUGCAUCGAUGAAGAACGCAGC
rnacentral:misc_RNA from 1 species